rnacentral:tRNA from 1 species
AUUUCUGUAGCAUAGUGGUCAUCACGUGCGCUUCACACGCGCAAGGACCCCAGUUCGAACGGAGGCGGAAACC